GGGAGAGAGGAUUUUACUCCAAUUCACUCCUGCACUGCACCCCAUUCAUGGGGCAGGCAGAGAGGCUUCUUCAUUUUCGGGUCAGAAUUAUAGGUAUUUGACAUGGCAUUCGUUUAGCGGGUGAGGCUAUCACGAGAGGAAAUAUGGUCCUCUAGGCCAGAUUGCCAGGGUGAGUGGUUAUCAUUUAUAAACCACUGUAUUUCAAUGUUAAUUUGUUGGCAUAUUUUAAUUGUUGUUUGGUAAAUUUCACUUAAUGGAUGUAUUUCAUUUAUUUGUUGGAAGAGUUAUCCGUAACGAUGGAGGAACUGAAUUUGUGAUUAGAUGAGUUGAAUUCAGGCAAUAUUGAAUAAGUUUUAAUGAAUGGAUAUAGAC
rnacentral:lncRNA from 1 species